GGGUUGUGAGGUUAAGCGACUAAGCGUACACGGUGGAUGCCCUGGCAGUCAGAGGCGAUGAAGGGCGUGCUAAUCUGCGAUAAGCGCCGGUAAGGUGAUAUGAACCGUUAUAACCGGCGAUACCCGAAUGGGGAAACCCAGUGUGACUCGUCACACUAUCAUUAACUGAAUCCAUAGGUUAAUGAGGCGAACCGGGGGAACUGAAACAUCUAAGUACCCCGAGGAAAAGAAAUCAACCGAGAUUCCCCCAGUAGCGGCGAGCGAACGGGGAGGAGCCCAGAGCCUGAAUCAGCAUGUGUGUUAGUGGAAGCGUCUGGAAAGACGCGCGAUACAGGGUGACAGCCCCGUACACAAAAGCGCAUGUGUUGUGAGCUCGAUGAGUAGGGCGGGACACGUGGUAUCCUGUCUGAAUAUGGGGGGACCAUCCUCCAAGGCUAAAUACUCCUGACUGACCGAUAGUGAACCAGUACCGUGAGGGAAAGGCGAAAAGAACCCCGGCGAGGGGAGUGAAAAAGAACCUGAAACCGUGUACGUACAAGCAGUGGGAGCCCCACCACUAAGCCAGUGGUGAACUCCACAUACGCAUCCUUUGCUGAGGAUACGGUUAACGGAGCGAAAGCGACGUUCAACCGCAAAAGAAGCAGAGGGGGCUUAGUGGUGGGGUGACUGCGUACCUUUUGUAUAAUGGGUCAGCGACUUAUAUUCUGUAGCAAGGUUAACCGUAUAGGGGAGCCGUAGGGAAACCGAGUCUUAACCGGGCGUUAAGUUGCAGGGUAUAGACCCGAAACCCGGUGAUCUAGCCAUGGGCAGGUUGAAGGUUGGGUAACACUAACUGGAGGACCGAACCGACUAAUGUUGAAAAAUUAGCGGAUGACCUGUGGCUGGGGGUGAAAGGCCAAUCAAACCGGGAGAUAGCUGGUUCUCCCCGAAAGCUAUUUAGGUAGCGCCUCGUGAAUUCAUCUCCGGGGGUAGAGCACUGUUUCGGCUAGGGGGCCAUCCCGGCUUACCAACCCGAUGCAAACUGCGAAUACCGGAGAAUGUUAUCACGGGAGACACACGGCGGGUGCUAACGUCCGUCGUGAAGAGGGAAACAACCCAGACCGCCAGCUAAGGUCCCAAAGUCAUGGUUAAGUGGGAAACGAUGUGGGAAGGCCCAGACAGCCAGGAUGUUGGCUUAGAAGCAGCCAUCAUUUAAAGAAAGCGUAAUAGCUCACUGGUCGAGUCGGCCUGCGCGGAAGAUGUAACGGGGCUAAACCAUGCACCGAAGCUGCGGCAGCGACACUCAGGUGUUGUUGGGUAGGGGAGCGUUCUGUAAGCCUGUGAAGGUGUGUCGUGAGGCAUGCUGGAGGUAUCAGAAGUGCGAAUGCUGACAUAAGUAACGAUAAAGCGGGUGAAAAGCCCGCUCGCCGGAAGACCAAGGGUUCCUGUCCAACGUUAAUCGGGGCAGGGUGAGUCGACCCCUAAGGCGAGGCCGAAAGGCGUAGUCGAUGGGAAACGGGUUAAUAUUCCCGUACUUGGUGUUACUGCGAAGGGGGGACGGAGAAGGCUAUGUUGGCCGGGCGACGGUUGUCCCGGUUUAAGCGUGUAGGUGUGUGUUCCAGGUAAAUCCGGUUCACUUUAACACUGAGGCGUGAUGACGAGGCACUACGGUGCUGAAGCAACAAAUGCCCUGCUUCCAGGAAAAGCCUCUAAGCAUCAGGUAACAUCAAAUCGUACCCCAAACCGACACAGGUGGUCAGGUAGAGAAUACCAAGGCGCUUGAGAGAACUCGGGUGAAGGAACUAGGCAAAAUGGUGCCGUAACUUCGGGAGAAGGCACGCUGACACGUAGGUGAAGUGAUUUACUCAUGGAGCUGAAGUCAGUCGAAGAUACCAGCUGGCUGCAACUGUUUAUUAAAAACACAGCACUGUGCAAACACGAAAGUGGACGUAUACGGUGUGACGCCUGCCCGGUGCCGGAAGGUUAAUUGAUGGGGUCAGCGCAAGCGAAGCUCCUGAUCGAAGCCCCGGUAAACGGCGGCCGUAACUAUAACGGUCCUAAGGUAGCGAAAUUCCUUGUCGGGUAAGUUCCGACCUGCACGAAUGGCGUAAUGAUGGCCAGGCUGUCUCCACCCGAGACUCAGUGAAAUUGAACUCGCUGUGAAGAUGCAGUGUACCCGCGGCAAGACGGAAAGACCCCGUGAACCUUUACUAUAGCUUGACACUGAACAUUGAGCCUUGAUGUGUAGGAUAGGUGGGAGGCUUUGAAGCGUGGACGCCAGUCUGCGUGGAGCCGACCUUGAAAUACCACCCUUUAAUGUUUGAUGUUCUAACGUGGACCCGUAAUCCGGGUUGCGGACAGUGUCUGGUGGGUAGUUUGACUGGGGCGGUCUCCUCCUAAAGAGUAACGGAGGAGCACGAAGGUUGGCUAAUCCUGGUCGGACAUCAGGAGGUUAGUGCAAUGGCAUAAGCCAGCUUGACUGCGAGCGUGACGGCGCGAGCAGGUGCGAAAGCAGGUCAUAGUGAUCCGGUGGUUCUGAAUGGAAGGGCCAUCGCUCAACGGAUAAAAGGUACUCCGGGGAUAACAGGCUGAUACCGCCCAAGAGUUCAUAUCGACGGCGGUGUUUGGCACCUCGAUGUCGGCUCAUCACAUCCUGGGGCUGAAGUAGGUCCCAAGGGUAUGGCUGUUCGCCAUUUAAAGUGGUACGCGAGCUGGGUUUAGAACGUCGUGAGACAGUUCGGUCCCUAUCUGCCGUGGGCGCUGGAGAACUGAGGGGGGCUGCUCCUAGUACGAGAGGACCGGAGUGGACGCAUCACUGGUGUUCGGGUUGUCAUGCCAAUGGCACUGCCCGGUAGCUAAAUGCGGAAGAGAUAAGUGCUGAAAGCAUCUAAGCACGAAACUUGCCCCGAGAUGAGUUCUCCCUGAGACUUAGAGUCUCCUGAAGGAACGUUGAAGACGACGACGUUGAUAGGCCGGGUGUGUAAGCGCAGCGAUGCGUUGAGCUAACCGGUACUAAUGAACCGUGAGGCUUAACCUUACAACGCCGAAG
rnacentral:rRNA from 1 species